rnacentral:lncRNA from 1 species
GUCUUCUUUGAGAGGUGAUGGAUUCUCCCUUAAAAGACACCUUCAAUCAGGUGGAUUUUGAAAACUAGACUCGGGACAUGCUGCUUUCCGAGGCCCUU